rnacentral:rRNA from 1 species
AGAACGAACGCUGGCGGCAGGCCUAACACAUGCAAGUCGAACGGGGUAGCAAUACUCUAGUGGCAGACGGGUGAGUAACACGUGGGAACCUUCCUAUUAGUAUGGAAUAGCCCGGCGAAAGCCGGAUUAAUACCGUAUACGCCCCAAGGGGGAAAGAUUUAUCGCUAAUAGAUGGGCCCGCGUAAGAUUAGCUAGUUGGUGAGGUAAUGGCUCACCAAGGCUACGAUCUUUAGCUGGUUUGAGAGAAUGAUCAGCCACACUGGAACUGAGACACGGUCCAGACUCCUACGGGAGGCAGCAGUGGGGAAUAUUGGACAAUGGGCGCAAGCCUGAUCCAGCCAUGCCGCGUGAAUGAUGAAGGCCUUCGGGUUGUAAAGUUCUUUUAGUGGAGAAAAUAAUGAUGGUAUCCACAGAAAAAGCCCGGCUAACUUCGUGCCAGCAGCCGC